rnacentral:sRNA from 1 species
GUAGCUAAGCCAAGCUGUAGCUGAGCUGUCCCAGGUGGCUCAGCCUCAUCCCCCUUGCUUAUUCGCUACGGGCUCCUGCUCAUGCCUGCCAGAGUGUAUAAGCCCAAGGGUGAUCGAUCCUCCCUAGAGAGCUGACCUGAGCCCAGCUGCCUACCCCUCUCUCAAGCAUCGUCCUCAUGCCUCUGUGUGGUCCUGCUUCCCUGCUCCUGCUUAGGACAGACAGCUUUCUGAUCUGGCUUGCUGCAUGUACCGUCUGCCCUGGCAGGUGGGGCUACUCUGCCCUCCUGCUAUCUCUGCCCCUGUAACACGCUCUUGAGUUCCUUCAUCUAAAUGGAGUGAAGGCAGCCUGGGUGGUGGCCACUCCAUCCCCCUCUUCUCUGUUCAGUCCUUCUACAGGAAGCACUUUGACACAGAAGAGACCCGGGUGAAUCAGCUGUUUGCACAAGCCAAGGCCUGCAAGGUGCUAGUGGAGAAAUGCACAGUGAGUGUGAAGGACAUCCAGGCACAUCUGGCUCA